UGGCUCUGUCAGGCAGGUAG
rnacentral:miRNA from 1 species